rnacentral:lncRNA from 1 species
UAUGAGUUUAGAGUGAUUCAUUUUAAUGCUUUGCUUCAUAACUUACAUAUGUGUUCUAUAUUGUUCACAUUUCAGAUGUUAAAUGAUACACUCUAAAUUGGAAAAAAUGGUCCAUUAUAGAAAAAUACAAGACAAAAUUUCAAAGACACAAGCUCAAAUGUCAAUGAAAAUUCAUGUCUCUCUAGAAAAUGAAAAGGUACCAGUUACCUGUAAUGGGUUGGAACCUAGACAGAGAAAAUACAGUCUCUUCAUCUGGAAUAAAUCAAGAAAACUGAAGCCAUUUGAUGUCUUCUGAUUUCAAGGUCCAGAGGAUCCAAUUGUAUACAUUAGGUUUUUACUUCAUUGAGUUUAGAAAUGACAUACAUCAAGUCACUGUAGAGGAAGAGGAGUUCCGAUAGGAGGAAAAAGAACUUGUGAAUCACUUCUGAUCACAAUUUAGAAGAAAAAAGGGAAAAAAACUCCCUGAAGUUUAUUACCUCGUUUGUUAUGUGGUAAGUUUUUUAGGUAUUUUAUUUUUUUUAAUUUUUUUGAGGUAAAUAUUACUCCUUUUUUUCUGAACUGACAUGUUAAAUGACCUAUCAUGUGUAAGCUACUGUGUUAGGAGCCUAACAUAUUUUCUCACUAAAUUCUCAAAAUUAAUUUUGUUAUUUUAGAUAUGUAAACUAGAAUAGGCUAGAUUAUACUGUAUUAACAAAGAGAUCCAAAAUCUCAGUGGCCAAAUAAUAUAAAGGUUUAUUGUUGACUCACACCAAAAUCACUAUGGUGCCAGGUGACUUUCCAAGGCAGUUUUCUCCUUGUGGUCACUUGUAGUCAAGGCUGAGGGAAACAUUACCACACUGCAGUUACACCGUCUGGAGUUAGUGGUUGUGGAGACAAGGGAAGAAUCACAGGAGACUUAAUCAUGGGUUUUUAAGGCCUCAGUCUGGAAGUUACUACACGCAUUACUUUCCCUCAAAGCCUAUUUGCGGGGAGCUAGUACAUGGUCCCACUUAACAGUCAGCAAGGUGGGAAAUAGAAAGAAGCAAGUUGGUUAUGAUGAACGUGACUGGGUCUGCUACGAUAUUAUAACCCAAUCUUAAUAAUGAGAAAACUGAUGUUCAAAGAAGUUAGAUCAUGUUCCCCAAUCACACACUUAAUAAUUAGUAUACUUAGUUCUUGAAACCAGGUCUCUUCCAGUCCAAGGAACAUUUUUAUGCCUUCUUUCUCCACGCUCCCAAACAUACUGAGUAUUUUAGUAGUUUAGAGUUAGUUAUAUGUGGCCUUGUGGUAGCCAACCUCUAAGUUGCAGUGAGUCCUGGCUGUUGGUAUUCAUACAGCACAAUUUCCUCCCUCAGUGAAUAGGGUUGAUUUGUUUUUUUUUUUUUUUAAUAGGGUUGAUUUGUAUAACAACUAUAGUCUUGUGGAAAUGACAAAUAUGGCUUUUGGGACUAGAUUAUAAAAGACAGUGGUUUCCUUCUUGUUCUUUUGGAUUACUCACUCUGGGAAAAGCCAGCUGCCAUAAUGUAAAGUCAUUAAAGCAGCUCUAUAGAGUUUUUGUAUAGUCAGGAACUAAAGCCUCCAGCCAACACUUGGAACCAACUUGGUGUCCAUGAGCAUGAACCAUCUUGAAAGAAGUGUCAUCCCAUCAGCAAUGGGAUGACUGAUCCCAGACCAACAGCUCGACAGCAACUGCAUGAGAGACCCUGACCUAGACCCACUCAGCUAAAGAUACUCCCAGAUAAUUCUUGACCUACAGAAACUAUGUGAGAUGAUAAAUGCCUACUGCUAGUAUAAGUUGCUAAGUUUUGGGAUGGUUUGUUAUGCCAUAAUAGAUAACAAUAAAGAACCUUUUCAGAUUGCUUCCUUUCA